ACGCACGCUGGCGGCGUGCUUCACACAUGCCAGUCGCACGGAAAGGCCCUGCUUUUGUGGGGUGCUCGAGUGGCGAACGGGUGAGUAACACGUGAGUAACCUGCCCUUGACUUUGGGAUAACUUCAGGAAACUGGGGCUAAUACCGGAUAGGAGCUCCUGCUGCAUGGUGGGGGUUGGAAAGUUUCGGCGGUUGGGGAUGGACUCGCGGCUUAUCAGCUUGUUGGUGGGGUAGUGGCUUACCAAGGCUUUGACGGGUAGCCGGCCUGAGAGUGUGACCGGCCACAUUGGGACUGAGAUACGGCCCAGACUCCUACGGGAGGCAGCAGUGGGGAAUAUUGCACAAUGGGCGGAAGCCUGAUGCAGCAACGCCGCGUGCGGGAUGACGGCCUUCGGGUUGUAAACCGCUUUCGCCUGUGACGAAGCGUGAGUGACGGUAAUGGGUAAAGAAGCACCGGCUAACUACGUG
rnacentral:rRNA from 1 species